GACACUAUAGCUUAGUGGUUGAGCAUACGAUUGCAAUGAUAAACCCACAGAAUUUUCCAUUUCAUCGUGAGGUCCCGUGUUCGAACCACGGUAGUGUCU